AGAGUCCCUUCCUGGCUCAGAGCGAACGUUAGCGGCAGGCCUAACACAUGCAAGUCGCACGAGAAAAGGGCUUCGGCCCCCUGUAAAGUGGCGGACGGGUGAGUAACACGUGGGUAAUGUACCCCUCGGCGGGGGAUAACAACCCGAAAGGGUUGCUAAUACCGCAUAUGUCGAGAGAUUUUUCAGAGUCUCUCGAGAAAGGUGGCCUCUUCAUGAAAGCUACCACCGAAGGAUCAGCCCGCGGCCCAUCAGCUAGUUGGCGGUGUAAUAGACCACCAAGGCAAAGACGGGUAGCUGGUCUGAGAGGAUGAUCAGCCACACUGGAACUGAGACACGGUCCAGACUCCUUCGGGAGGCAGCAGUGGGGAAUAUUGGGCAAUGGGCGAAAGCCUGACCCAGCCAUGCCGCGUGAGUGAUGAAGGCCUUCGGGUCGUAAAGCUCUGUGGGGAGGGAAGAAAAUACCUUGGCUAAUAUCCAAGGGAACUGACGGUACCUCCUUAGCAAGCACCGGCUAACUCCGUGCCAGCAGCCGCGGUAAUACGGAGGGUGCAAACGUUGCUCGGAAUCAUUGGGCGUAAAGCGCACGUAGGCGGUUCGUUAAGUCGGAUGUGAAAGCCCUGGGCUCAACCCAGGAAGGGCAUUCGAAACUGGCGGACUGGAGUAUGGAAGAGGGUCGCGGAAUUCCCGGUGUAGAGGUGAAAUUCGUAGAUAUCGGGAGGAACACCAGUGGCGAAGGCGGCGACCUGGGCCAAUACUGACGCUGAGCUGCGAAAGCGUGGGGAGCAAA
rnacentral:rRNA from 1 species